AGACCUGUAAUGUAACCGUUAGAUACAAGAUUUUGAUUCUUGGCGUACAGGUUCAAAUCCUGUCAGGUCUUC
rnacentral:tRNA from 1 species